UACGUAGGGGGCAAGCGUUGUCCGGAAUUAUUGGGCGUAAAGCGCGCGCAGGCGGCUUAUUAAGUCUGAUGUGAAAGCCCACGGCUCAACCGUGGAGGGCCAUUGGAAACUGGUAGGCUUGAGUGCAGGAGAGGAGAGCGGAAUUCCCGGUGUAGCGGUGAAAUGCGCAGAUAUCAGGAGGAACACCGGUGGCGAAGGCGGGUCUCUGGGCCGAUACUGACGCUGAGGAGCGAAAGCGUGGGGAGCGAACAGG
rnacentral:rRNA from 1 species